rnacentral:lncRNA from 1 species
CGGAAUCGGUGAAAUCGACGGGAACAACCGUAUGAUCGGAACUAUAGAGAUCCUUGCUGGUAACAUCGAGGGUUUGAUCGGUCAUGCAUUUGGCACGAAGAUGGAACUCGACGGAGCAGAACUCGCACUGGCCGUCACCGUCGCAUGCGUCACAGUCACGCGAGAAUCGCAUCGACAUGGCGCGUUCGCUGGUGAGAGGGAUGAGGCCGAGGCGGUGGGCAAUGAACUCGUCGUUAAGGACGGAGGAGUUGACUUCAAUUUCGACGAGGUCGAUUGCGAUGGUGGGGACCUCGGCAAUCAUGACGCGACGGAGGGCGUUGGCCAUGGAGGCGUCGGUGUCGCGAAGCUCGAAUUUUGCAUAGUCGUCUUUCAGUUCGCGGAUUUUGACCUUGGGGAAUCGCUG